rnacentral:rRNA from 1 species
GACAGAGGUGCCGAGCGUUAGGCGGAAUCACUGGGCUUAAAGCGUGUGUAGGCGGAUCUGUAAGUACCUUGUGAAAUCCCACGGCUCAACCGUGGAACUGCUUGGUAUACUGCGGGUCUUGAGCCACCUAGGGGCAAGUGGAACAAACGGUGGAGCGGUGAAAUGCGUAGAUAUCGUUUGGAACGCCAAUGGUGAAAACAGGUCGCUGGGGACAUGCUGACGCUGAGACACGAAAGCCAGGGGAGCAAACGGG